rnacentral:rRNA from 1 species
GACGAACGCUGGCGGCGUGCCUAAUACAUGCAAGUUGAGCGCUGAAGGUUGGUACUUGUACCACCUGGAUGAGCAGCGAACGGGUGAGUAACGCGUGGGUAAUCUGCCUUUGAGCGGGGGACAACAUUUGGAAACGAAUGCUAAUACCGCAUAAAAUCUUUAAACACAAGUUUUAAGUUUGAAAGAUGCAAUUGCAUCACUCAAAGAUGAUCUCGCGUUGUAUUAGCUAGUUGGUGAGGUAAAGGCUCACCAAGGCGAUGAUACAUAGCCGACCUGAGAGGGUGAAUGGCCACAUUGGGACUGGGAAACGGCCCAAACUCCUACGGGGGGCAGCAGUAGGGAAUCUUCGGCAAUGGACGAAAGUCUGACCGAGCAACGCCGCGUGAGGGAAGAAGGUUUUCGGAUCGUAAAACUCUGUUGGUAGAGAAGAACGUUGGUGAGAGUGGAAAGCUCAUCAAGUGACGGUAACUACCCAGAAAGCGACGGCUAACUACGUG